UUAAUAAGCGGAGGAAAAGAAACUAACUAGGAUUCCCUCAGUAAGGGCGACUGAAGCGGGAAUAGCUCAAGAUGUAAAUCGGUGUUUCGGCACUGAAUUGUGGUCUACAGACUCUAGCGUUAAGUGCCUGGGUGAAGUCUCUUGGAACAGAGCGGCGAAGAGGGUGAGACCCCCGUGAACCCGGACCUUCAAGCGAGUGUCGAUGAGUCGAGUUGUUUGGGAUUGCAGCUCAAAGUGGGUGGUAAAUUCCAUCUAAAGCUAAAUACCGGUGGGAAACCGAUAGUGAACAAGUACCGUGAGGGAAAGAUGCAAAGAACUUUGAAAAGAGAGUUAAAGAGUACCUGAAAUUGCUGAAAGGGAAGCGAAGGAAACCAGUGCUUGCAAUGUCAUAUUUUCCAACCUGCUUGCGGGUAGGGCGCUGUGUCAUGCAAUGUCUCGGUUGGUUGGGGGGAGUUAAACUGCGUAGAGGUAGUUGACCUCUGCAUGCAAAACUUUGCCUGACUGAGUUGAUACGAAAUGGUUUUCUUCUCCCCG
rnacentral:rRNA from 1 species